GUACGUGGUAGUGAUAAAAUGUACCACCGCACGUGAGAUUCUUGAUUGAUUGCUGGCAUGAAUUCGAUGUAACAGGGGUUUCUGGUAGGCACCACGAUGCUCGAUGGAUAAUUUGAUGACGCUUCAUAAUGAUCUGAGCGAUCAAAAAUUAAACGGUUUGCAUAUAUGCACCAAGGAGAGAAUAUAUUUGAAAAUAAAUCAAUUUUUCUGUAAAAAGAAGGUGGAUGGAUGGGACGUGGUUAAGAUUGGGUCUUCAAUCGUAGCAACCUCCUCGUGGUGAGACCUGGAAAAUCGGUAUUAUUUGAUAUACAAUUCUUAAUCGCAUCUAUCGCUAACAGCUACAAUACAAUUAUGAAUUAUAUAACAAAUAAUACGAGCCAAUUGGCUGCGAUAGUGAUUAGAUUUUUAGCCGAUUUUUAUGUAGUCAAAAGACUUACUGAAAAGUCAUUUCUCUUUGCUUGGAUUGUAAAAUAACAACGAGAAGUUAAUAAAACAA